AAAGGCCUACCAAGCCAACGAUCUGUAGCUGGUCUGAGAGGACGACCAGCCACACUGGAACUGAGACACGGUCCAGACUCCUACGGGAGGCAGCAGUGGGGAAUUUUGGACAAUGGGCGAAAGCCUGAUCCAGCCAUUCCGCGUGCAGGAUGAAGGCCCUCGGGUUGUAAACUGCUUUUGUACAGAACGAAAAAGUUUCUAUUAAUACUAGGAGCUCAUGACGGUACUGUAAGAAUAAGCACCGGCUAACUACGUGCCAGCAGCCGCGGUAAUACGUAGGGUGCAAGCGUUAAUCGGAAUUACUGGGCGUAAAGCGUGCGCAGGCGGUUAUAUAAGUCAGAUGUGAAAUCCCCGGGCUCAACCUGGGAACUGCAUUUGAGACUGUAUAGCUAGAGUACGGUAGAGGGGGAUGGAAUUCCGCGUGUAGCAGUGAAAUGCGUAGAUAUGCGGAGGAACACCGAUGGCGAAGGCAAUCCCCUGGACCUGUACUGACGCUCAUGCACGAAAGCGUGGGGAGCAAACAGGAUUAGAUACCCUGGUAGUCCACGCCCUAAACGAUGUCAACUGGUUGUUGGGUCUUAACUGACUCAGUAACGAAGCUAACGCGUGAAGUUGACCGCCUGGGNGUACGGCCGCAAGGUUGAAACUCAAGGAAUUGACGGGACCCGCACAGCGGUGGAUGAUGUGG
rnacentral:rRNA from 1 species